GUCCACCAUGUUGCACCGCCAUGUUUCUACAUUAGCCCAGAAUGGACAAACCAAACUGUUAACUUUUCCUGCUCGGGUUGGAGUCGAUAACAUUAUUUACUCCCGUUGCUGCAGCUCUCUCUCUCUUGCUUCACCACUCACUUUCCAUGUGCACACUCUACCCACUGGCUCUGCUCAAAAUGACCCACGCUGCUCUUA